AUGGAGGCGAUGAUCCUUUCCCCAGCUGAUCAACUAAGAUUAUAAAUGCGCGUUUUGUUUAGAUCUCCUUUUUCAACAUAGGAGGUUUUCUAAGCCAGUACUCUGAUCCAU